rnacentral:rRNA from 1 species
CGUCUAUAUACGUAUAGCAUAUCAAUAAGCGGAGGAAAAGAAACUAACUAGGAUUCCCUCAGUAACGGCGAGUGAAGCGGGAAGAGCUCAAAUUUGAAAUCUUCAAGGUUUUACCUUGACGAAUUGUAGUUUAAAGAAGUGUUUUCUGUUGGAGUUUUGGUAAAAGUUCUUUGGAAUAGGACAUCAUAGAGGGUGAGAAUCCCGUAUUUGACCAUUAUCUCCAGCUUUGUGAUACACUUUCAAAGAGUCGGAUUGUUUGGGAAUGCAGUCCAAAAUGGGUGGUAAAUUUCAUCUAAAGCUAAAUAUUGGCGAGAGACCGAUAGCGAACAAGUACCGUGAGGGAAAGAUGAAAAGAACUUUGAAAAGAGAGUUAAACAGUACGUGAAAUUGUCAAAAGGGAAGCGUUUGACACCAGUGUUGUUUUCUCGAAAAUCAAUUAAAAAAGGACUGGAUUUUGUGUUGUAUUGACUUUAUCAGCUUUCUGCACUCUUUUCUUGUCUUUUUUAAUGCACUUUUCGUUUAACAAGUCAACAUCAAUUUCUUUUGUUGUAAAAGGGUCAUUGGAAGGUGGCUUUCUUUUCGGAGAAAGUGUUUAUAGCCUUUGGCCUCUGCAAUCGGAGAGAUUGAGGUCUGCAGCGUAGAUCCUUCGGGGUUAGAUACAUUUGUGCUAAGUUAUAGCCUUUCAUAGACAACUUGUUGACUAUGAUCAGUCAUGUAGCUUACUCGCUUAUGUUAUUUUACCUACGCUUAGGAUGUUGAAGUCAUCGUAUCGCGC